GAUCCUGGCUCAGGAUGAACGCUAGCGACAGGCUUAACACAUGCAAGUCGAGGGGCAGCAUGAACUUAGCUUGCUAAGUUUGAUGGCGACCGGCGCACGGGUGAGUAACGCGUAUGCAACUUGCCUAUCAGAGGAGAAUAGCUCAUCGAAAGAUGAAUUAAUGCUCCAUAAAACAGGGGUCCCGGCAUGGGAAUAUUUGUUAAAGUAAUUCAUCGCUGAUAGAUAGG
rnacentral:rRNA from 1 species